rnacentral:rRNA from 1 species
CAGUAGCCGCGGGAAAACGGAGGGUGCAAGCGUUAAUCGGAAUUACUGGGCGUAAAGCGCACGCAGGCGGUCUGACAAGUCAGAUGUGAAAUCCCCGGGCUUAACCUGGGAACUGCAUUUGAAACUGUCAGGCUGGAGUCUUGUAGAGGGGGGUAGAAUUCCAGGUGUAGCGGUGAAAUGCGUAGAGAUCUGGAGGAAUACCGGUGGCGAAGGCGGCCCCCUGGACAAAGACUGACGCUCAGGUGCGAAAGCGUGGGGAGCAAACAGGAUUAGAUACCCGAGUAGUCCCUGUCUCUUAUAA